UGACCUACGGGACGCAGCAGUGGGAAGUAUUGCACAAUGGGGGAAACCCUGAUGCAGCGACGCCGCGUGGGUGAGGAAGGUUUUCGGAUUGUAAACUAUUGUCGUUAGGGAAGAUAAAAGACUGUACCUAAGGAGGAAGCCCCGGCUAACUAUGUGCCAGCAGCCGCGGUAAUACAUAGGGGGCAAGCGUUAUCCGGAAUUAUUGGGUGUAAAGGGUGCGUAGACGGAAGAACAAGUUGGUUGUGAAAUCCCUCGGCUCAACUGAGGAACUGCAACCAAAACUAUUCUCCUUGAGUGUCGGAGAG
rnacentral:rRNA from 1 species